UUCUCUAAUGUUAACCGUACAUGUACACUAGCACUUCACAAUAUACAGAGUCUGAAAGCUCACUUUCAAGAUAUUUCUUCCCAUAAAACUCUAAUGAAAGCUGAUUGUAUUUGCCUAACUGAAACAUGGCUCAAUGUAGGCACUGAAGAAUUACCAGAACUUCCAGGAUUUCGCUUCAACCACAAUCCAAGAGCAAACUGUUACGAUGACACAGAGCCCCUCUUUACAGAACUGAAACAACAACAAAGAGGUGGAGUUGCUGUUAAAGGUUAUCUGUGAACUUGAGAAGCAUCCAGGGAAGAGAGUUAUCAUGGGAGACUUUAAUGAGGAUGUCUUUGUAUCAUCUACAAUUCUAAAGUUAAUGGAACAACAUGGAUACACUCAACAUGUCCAAGCAGCAACAACUGAAAAAGGUACGCUAAUAGACCAUGUAUACAUUAAAGGCACAGAAGAUGUUAUUGUUGAAGUUGUACAGACAUACUACAGUUUUCAUGAAGCAAUACUUAUUUCCCUCAUGUAAUAUGUUCAUAAUUGAUCUGUAAGAUAUUGACCAUUAAGAUACUUUCUGUAUGUGUUUUAUAUAGGAUCAUUUACAUAUAAGAUUACGUCAAAUACCGUCCACAUAGUCUUGGGUGGGAAUGGGGGUGGUUGCAAGGAGAGCAUAACAUUGGACGGCUCCUUAAGGGGAUGGGAUGGGUAUAUAUAACAGACACAGGGAAUUAAAUUAGUCAUUCAUUGAGACAGUCAAAAUAUUACUUUCUUUUAAAUUCUUUUUUUUUAUACAAUGCAAUGUUAAAUUGUACAUAGUUAUUGUGUUUUAUUAAGAAUGUUAAACUAGACUUGAAAUACAUUUCUUAGAGUUAACUUUUAAUUUAAUGUAUUCUUCCAAAAGAUUUUGGAAGAGUUUACUUUUUUAUUAUUUUUAUUAGAUUUUUCUCCAACAUCUUACUAAAUAUUACAAUUGAAUUUGUGAAAUUAACCACAUAAAUAUGGAUUGGAAAUUAUGUCAUGGUUGUAUUUGGGCUACAAGACAUUUCAGUUCAGUAAACAUUGGACCUUCUGAACCCUGAGAAGACAGCAGACAGAGCAACGCGAGUCAUGAGAUCUCCAGAAAGACACCUAGAGUUUGGAUGACCGCACAAUUUUCUCAACCAUACAAUGGUGCUUCUGGAGUAAAGAUGUGGUCAACGUCAUCUUUGUCAGCAUUGAACAGCCACAGUCUGAACAUUUAGCCCCUAAAUCUGGCAAUCUCUUCAUAGACUUCAUUCACUUUAAAGAAGGAGUGAAAACAACCAAAUACACUGGAAUCAAAAGUUGCAAAGCUUGCAAUCGUUUGUAUGUGUUUACUGUUAAUGUUGUUUUCCUAUCUCUAAAAAGAAGCAAUCAUGUGGGGAAUUAUUUCUCAAAAUGUCUCUGAAUGGCAAAUGACUGAUAUGAGUGAUAGUUUAGUGUAAGAAACCACUGUACUUGUCAAAUGUCUUGUAUUUUGGAUGGUCUUACACUAGGCGGUAUUGUAAUGUGCCUAGAAGGUGAUCAUGCUUUCCCAUGCCUCAGUGAUGAUAAGAAGGUUCAUGUAGGUUGGCUGUUUCUCAACGGGUAGAGAGGAUCCUCCAGUAACCAUAAGGUUGGCGGUUUGACACAAGACUCCUUCUGUCUAACUGUCCUUCAGCAAGACACAACACCAGUAGCUCCUGAUGGGCUUGCAAGCACCUUGCAUGGCAGCUCCACUGCUGUGUGUGUGUCUAACCUAAUCUGACCUAAAUGAUUUGACCCUUGACUACAUCAUUUGCACUGUCUCAUUGAUGAAAUAUCGAUAGGCUACUAUAUAUAACAAGAAAAAUGAUAUUUAAUAUUGUGAUAUUUUACUGUCAUAUCUUUUUUUAAUGUUUAUUUUAUUUUCCCAAUAAAUACAU